CACUUCCGUUAGAGGCGGCUACCUAAAUUCUAAAUUUAGUAGUCUGAGAUGUACUCUUUAUUACCUGACCGAGAUAAUGCUCGCGUAGGGAAACGGAUAACCAAAAUU
rnacentral:ncRNA from 2 species